UACUGAAACAACGUUUAAUUCAUUUAUCUUCGUUAGUAUGCACAGAGAAGAUGUUGGGACAUUUUUAAUGCAUUUACGGUAUCAGAAAUGACUGUGACCAUGAUGAUCACCUCAAAUCGUUCUGUUCGAAAUAUUCUUUAAGAAAAUCGUUAAAAAUUGACGAAAUUCGUACCAGAGUCUCGGGUAAAUUCUGAACGGAACGAUUUGGUUCUAGUUUUUUUUUUUUUCUCUCUUUUUUCUUUUAUUCAUCACAAACUCGUCGUAGAAAUAAAAUGCUCGAUUCGAGCAUCUUUUUAAUAGAAAGUGCGUAUAUUAUAGAAAUCGAUUUGUGAGGGUGUGCUUUGGCGCGUGUGUCAUAAUAAAGCAAGCAAAAUAAUAUUCAACAAAUAAAUAAAUAAACAAAUAAUGAAAAAAAAAAAAAAAAAUAAGAAAAGAUUUACCUAUUAUGAGAAAGAAUAAAUAUGAAUUCCACAGUUAUUAUUACUUAUAAAGUUACAGUUAUUGUUGAAAAAUUUAAUUACAGUUAAUUUGGCAGUGCAAUAAGCGAAUGGCAAAAUAUUUACUAGUGAAUACUUAUCAUGAUAUAGGCUUGUGAAGGUUACUUAUUACAAAAAGCGUGGAAAAACAUUGCCAAGACUGUGUAUUAGUGCUGUGGUAUAAAUCGAUCAAACGGCAGCUUCGAUUAAUAGUUUUUUUCGAUUAGAGCACUACUAUACAAUGUCUCUUCGAAGCGAAGACAAUUUUUUUCAUGUAAAUUGCAGACGCAUGCACGUGAGGCGAUAAAAUGAUAGAUAUGAUAUUCGAAGAAGUAUAUUAAAUAAUUAUUAAUAAUAGUAAUAAUUAUGUAUCGUGUGUUAUGAACCUUAAUUUGUCUUUGGUCGGACAACCAUCAUCAGCUUCUGCAUACUUUGGGUGAAGGCUCCUAUACGAAAAAAAGUGUUAACUAGCAGAAAAAUAAAAUGAGUGAAAAUUUUAACUACAAUAAUAUGUAUAACAAGUGUUUUCUCGUGUAUGUAUAGCCGUGUGUUUCUCGAAUAGUCAACGAUAGUGUUGAAAUAAUAAACCUGUUCAGUAACAUUGUACGAUAAUAUAAUUAUAUAAGAUAUAUGGAAGAUAGAUGACAAAAAACAAAAAAAAAUAGUUACACGAUAAAACUCGAGUGUCUUUUUUUCUUUUCAUGUUUAAUGAUAAAUGAUCGUCAUUGCUCUCUGUGCACGACUAAAACCCUUACGGUAAAAAAUUCUGUCAGUGUCCCAAGGGAUGUAUCGGUGAUACGGUUGUGUCAGUUAAACAAAAUUACGAGCAAGCGAAAUUUUCAGUUCUUAGACGUUUCCCGAAAGUGGAGUUAUAAAUAAUUUAUUCCUGCCGUCAUUCUUUUCCUCGUGGAAUGACGCUGAAUUGCCGAUAUACUCUAGGAAUGGUAUUACAGACAAAAUAGAAUUUCAAGUGGCGUGGAGUCGGCAAUACUUGUCGGAUAUCUUCCAUUUUUUUAUAACCUUAAACUAGUUUUAAUUUGAAUAUUGUAUCGAAUGAGAGAGAUGCGUGUAACUUUUUCCCUCUAAAAUUGAUAGUAAGAAAUGUGAUUCUUCCUUUAUAAAAUUACUGCAACAUUAUGGUACCAUCUUUGAGUAAAGAAUUUUCUUUUCAUUUGUUUGCCAUGCGGAAUUUGAUAAAAGUCAAAUUCAUCGAAUUUUCAACUGUCUGAAAUUUCAGUGCUGAGAGUUUUUCUUUCUUUCUUUUUAUCAUACCGUAUAGCUCUGCAUUUUCAAUAUUUGACAAUUAAAGUCGAAAAACUUGACACAAUAUUUGAGAAUACCUCGGGACACUCGGAAGAAAUUUUCAAGAAGAGUGUGCGGCUAUUUAUCUAGUCUUGAUAUACCUAUUUUCAUUACUUUUAGCUUGUUUGUUCAAGUUUAUCUUUCAGUACUCACCUACUGUCUUGGUGAAUGACUUGGGUUUGUUUUUCCAGGCGAUAAAGAACAAGUAAACAGGUACUGAUGACAAGAUCAUGAGACAACCGUACGCUGAAAACACGGUUACAAAGUUUCAUCGGUAUAUUCCAUAUACAAAGGCUCAUUAUAAUUGGAAUUUCAAAUAUCCGGCUAUAAUCAUUACAUUAAUUACAUAAACACGGCGCAUACACGAAUGAUGUCGAGUCAAUUAGUGCAGCUUAUCAAGUCCAUUAUUACGACAAACGGAAUAAGAAGAAAGUCGAAAGACGAAUAAAAAAUUAGAGUCACUUUAAUUCAAGUCUGCAUGUGACUAUCAUUUGUGAUUACGUAUUUAUUAAUAAUUCUUAAUCUUUCAAAGUUGUGCAAUGGAAUCAAGACUUUGAACUCUGAGUUACAAUAUUGACCGAUUGAACUCCGUCAUGGAAAAAUAUCGCUAGCUAAGAAUAUGGUUGGCGAGUUAUCGGAAUUCAAAGUUAUACUCAUUAGUUCAUACAUGGGAACGAGGGUGAUGAAGAGCGUGGCGAUUAUGUACACAACGGGGAAAAUGAGAUUCACUUUUAUUGGCCUCGGAAGAUUAGGCUGCGCCCACCUAAGCCAAGGCACGCAAAGCACCGACGCACCUAUACUCAUCUGAGGAUUGAAAACAUGGUUGAUUCGUCGCCAGUAGGAUCCAUUCAAUGUUCAUUCAUUUCUUCACCAAUUACAAAUAAACGUUGUUCUCGAUG
rnacentral:lncRNA from 1 species